rnacentral:rRNA from 1 species
CCCUACGGGGGGCAGCAGUGAGGAAUAUUGGUCAAUGGGCUUACGCCUGAACCAGCCAAGUCGCGUGAGGGAAGACUGCCCUAUGGGUUGUAAACCUCUUUUGUCAGGGAGCAACGCCGGCUACGUGUAGCCGGACUGAGAGUACCUGAAGAAAAAGCAUCGGCUAACUCCGUGCCAGCAGCCGCGGUAAUACGUAGGGGGCAAGCGUUAUCCGGAUUUACUGGGUGUAAAGGGAGCGUAGACGGCUGUGCAAGUCUGAAGUGAAAUGCCGGGGCUCAACCCCGGAACUGCUUUGGAAACUGUAC